ACACAAGCUCUGCUGUCAGCCAUGUGGUAAGAUUCGUGGGGCUGGCUCUGCCCCGACUGGGGAAGCCUGAAGUUUUGGGGGAUCAGAUCAGCUCAGGGGUAGAGUAGCAGGUCAUUCUGGUCUGACACAAGCCACCCCCUCUAAUUUAACAUUAUCAGGAAUAAAGGUGCUAUUUCGAUCUUCAUUUCUCUGGCUCUUGGUCUGUCAAUGGAGUGGUUCUGUAGUCGGAGAGGGUGAAAGUGGAGUUACAAAUUUGCCCCCCUCAAACCUGAGAAGCAACUCUUUGGACCAAUAGCAAAGUGAUUUCUCAGCUGUGAACUAACAGUUUGCUUUUGGAAUGAAUCAUGUGCUUUCAAUUUUCCACUUCAAAAACACACACUUCAGCAGAAGUCACUUUACAGCAAAUGAAAGAAGAAAUUUCCCCAGGGGAGAAAGGUGUUUGUUACUUAGAGGAGGGUAGAAGGGAUGACUUAGGAGCAUCUAUUUUUCCCAACUGUGAAGUCACCAGGAGGUCUUUUUGAUAUUAUUGCCCUUCUAGCCAAUAAGGCAGUGGUUUGCAAAAUGCUAGCAAUUAAGCAGUGCUCUAAUUGGCUGAAUUGUAUCUCUCUGUCCAGAGUUCUGGGAGAGAACAUAGGCAGGGUUAGGCAUGGGAGAAUGUGUCUGACUCACAACGAAGGAAUGAAGCAUGCCGGGCCUCAUCUCGGACCUGCACACUGCCCCUCAUUAUGUUCAUGAUCGGGUGAGGAUUCUUGUCUCAUGUCUUUCCAAGUCCUUGCAAGGCAGUGUCUCUCUGCUUACAGCAUUCUAUUCCAGCAGGAAAUGGAUAAAGAGUGGCCAGAAGGUGAAAAAGAAGAGAUGGCCCCCUGAAAGGGACAUCCACAUUUAUUUGAGCACCUACCAGUGGAACACCAUCAAUCACAUGGUGGACUCGUUGGGUUCCAAGACAGAUAGGACACCAUGAACAGAUGCUAUGGCUGAGACUGCUGGCCUGGGCAGCACUGUACUUUUUGCUUUUCCUGGAAGGGGAAGAAGAGAACAAUCCACUUUCUGUAUGGUCCUGUCCUUCAUUCGAGUUUAUAACGUUGUUGUGGACAUUGUGCUGACACACCUAAGGGUGGUUUGGAAACAGUUGGCAUGUUUUCUUUAUGUAUUUUUCACCUCUGCCAUCUGUAACUGAGAAAGGGUAUCCUUCCUCCUGCCAGUUCUCCCCAGCUGAAGUCUACACAAUCUUUACCCAGACAUCAGAAACAGCUGUCUCAGGCAGAAGGCGCUUGACUCCAGGUGGGCGCUCAGCAGCAAGGGCAGCAAAGUGCUGGGCACACAGAAGGACAACGUGAUGAAGCGCCAUCACAUGGCUGGUAGCCUGUGGUGAGUCACCGGACUUCUCGACUCCCACCUCACUAGGGUGGAAGGAACAGUAACCACAACGCUCUGCAACUCGGGCUGCGCCCGCAUGAUUGGAAACAAUCUGUGAAAUUGUGGAGUGAACAACCCCGAAGAAAUAGACUUCUAAUUCUAGCCUUUUGGAGAUUAUUAACCCAACUCCCAGAUUCUACAGAUGAGAAAAGGGAGGCCCAGGGAGGUGGAGAAACAUGUGUAGGAUCACAGAGAUGCCUUCAGCUCUCCAAAACAACAGAAAUGAUCAAAGAUGGAGGCAAGAAGACCAGAGAACCCUAAAUGUUUACUGUCUCCAGUGUGUUUGGAAACAGCUUGGACCAGUGUAGAGUGCUGGAACAGAGAGUCAAGAGCAUCAGGUUCGAUUCCCACCCUUACAAACUGCUCAGCCUAUGGAAAUUACUUUAUGUUUCAGGCCUCACUCUUGCCAUCUUUAAAAUGGCGACACAUGUACACACCCCUCCACAGUAAAUACAGAGGUCCUGCAAGCCAGGAUGUUAAGUACUUAGGAUGAAAAUGAUGACGAUUAAGUCUAUUCUAUCACUUGAUCUGAUUCUCUCUGACUAGUCUGCAGGGGGUAAUAACAUGGCCUGCAGAUGAUCCAUAAUCCACCAUCUUCUGGUGAAAAGAGAGGAAAGGGGGU
rnacentral:lncRNA from 1 species